rnacentral:rRNA from 1 species
GACGUAGGGGGCCAGCGUUGUUCGGAAUUACUGGGUGUAAAGGGUUCGUAGGCGGCGUGGCAAGUCGGGAGUGAAAUCUCUGGGCUCAACUCAGAGACUGCUUCCGAAACUGCUGUGCUGGAGUGUGGGAGAGGCGCGUGGAAUUGCAGGUGUAGCGGUGAAAUGCGUAGAUAUCUGCAGGAACACCCGUGGCGAAAGCGGCGCGCUGGACCACUACUGACGCUGAGGAACGAAAGCUAGGGGAGCAAACAGG